AUCGCUUCUCGGCCUUUUGGCUAAGAUCAAGUGUAGUAUCUGUUCUUAUCAGUUUAAUAUCUGAUACGUCCCCUACCCGGGGACCAUAUAUUAAAUGGAUUUUUGGAACAGGGAGAUGGAAUAGGAGCUUGCUUCGUCCACUCCACGUAUCGACCUGGUAUUGCAGUAUUUCCAGGAACGGUACAUCCCCA
rnacentral:snRNA from 1 species